rnacentral:rRNA from 1 species
AUGAACGCUGGCGGCGUGGAUAAGGCAUGCAAGUCAAGGGGCCCGCAAGGGCACCGGCAGACGAGGUAGUAAUAAGUAGGUACGAACCUAGAAGUCAGGAAUAGCCAUCCGAAAGGGUGGGUAAUACUUGAUAGUCCCUUCGGGGUAAAGAUUUAUCGCUUCUAGAUCGGCCUGCUCGGUAUCAGCUAGUUGGUAGUGUAAAAGACUACCAAGGCUAUGACGCCUAGGGGAGGUGAGAGCCUGACCCCCACCGAUGGAACUGAGACACGGUCCAUACACCUACGGGUGGCUGCAGCCGAGAAUAUUCGACAAUGGGCGAAAGCCUGAUCGAGCGACGCCGCGUGGAAGAUGAAGUCCUUCGGGAUGUAAAUUCCUUUUGUAGUCCAGAAAGUUUAUUGAUCGGACUAAGAAUAAGAGGUUGCUAAACUCGU